GUCUACGGCCAUACCAUCCGGAAUAUGCCCAAUCUCGUCUGACCUCAGAAGCUAAGCAGGUCACGCCUGGUUAGUACUUGGAUGGGAAACUCUAUUCCUGGCAUAGCAAAUGUAGCCU
rnacentral:rRNA from 1 species